CAAGUCGAACGUUAGAGAUUAGCAAUAGUCUCAAAAGUGGCGAACGGGUGAGUAACACGUAGGUAACCUGCCGCGCAGAGGGGGAUAACGACUGGAAACGGUCGCUAACACCGCAUGGUACUGUUUUGGGGGGACCCUAAACGGUUAAAACCUUGGUGCUGCGCGAGGGGCCUGCGUCCGAUUAGUUAGUUGGUGAGGUAACGGCUCACCAAGACGAUGAUCGGUAGCUGGUCUGAGAGGAUGAUCAGUCACACGGGAACUGAGACACGGUCCCGACUCCUACGGGGGGCAGCAGUGAGGAAUAUUGCACAAUGGACGCAAGUCUGAUGCAGCAACGCCGCGUGGAGGAUGAAGGUCUUUGGAUUGUAAACUCCUUUUCUCAGGGAAGAGAAUGGACGGUACCUGAGGAAUAAGUCACGGCUAACUACGUGCCAGCAGCCGCGGUAAUACGUAGGUGGCAAGCGUUAUCCGGAAUUACUGGGCGUAAAGCGCACGCAGGCGGUCUUGUAAGUUUGACGUGAAAGCUCCCGGCUUAACUGGGAGAGGUCGUUGAAGACUGCAAGACUUGAGGAAAUGAGAGGGGUGUAGAAUUCCCGGUGUAGUGGUGGAAUGCGUAGAUAUCGGGGGGAAUACCAGUGGCGAAAGCGGCACCCUAGCAUUUUUCUGACGCUCAUGUGCGAAAGCGUGGGGAGCGAACGGGAUUAGAUACCCCGGUAGUCCACGCCGUAAACGAUGAACACUAGGUGUAGGUGAUGUGAAAGUUAUCUGUACCGAAGCAAACGCGUUAAGUGUUCCGCCUGGGGAGUACGGCCGCAAGGCUAAAACUCAAAGGAAUUGACGGGGGCCCGCACAAGCAGCGGAGCGUGUGGUUUAAUUCGAUGCGAC
rnacentral:rRNA from 1 species